rnacentral:rRNA from 1 species
UGCAAGUCGAACGCGUUGGCCCAAUUGAUUGAUGGUGCUUGCACCUGAUUGAUUUUGGUCGCCAACGAGUGGCGGACGGGUGAGUAACACGUAGGUAACCUGCCCAGAAGCGGGGGACAACAUUUGGAAACAGAUGCUAAUACCGCAUAACAGCGUUGUUCGCAUGAACAACGCUUAAAAGAUGGCUUCUCGCUAUCACUUCUGGAUGGACCUGCGGUGCAUUAGCUUGUUGGUGGGGUAACGGCCUACCAAGGCGAUGAUGCAUAGCCGAGUUGAGAGACUGAUCGGCCACAAUGGGACUGAGACACGGCCCAUACUCCUACGGGAGGCAGCAGUAGGGAAUCUUCCACAAUGGGCGCAAGCCUGAUGGAGCAACACCGCGUGAGUGAAGAAGGGUUUCGGCUCGUAAAGCUCUGUUGUUAAAGAAGAACACGUAUGAGAGUAACUGUUCAUACGUUGACGGUAUUUAACCAGAAAGUCACGGCUAACUACGUGCCAGCAGCCGCGGUAAUACGUAGGUGGCAAGCGUUAUCCGGAUUUAUUGGGCGUAAAGAGAGUGCAGGCGGUUUUCUAAGUCUGAUGUGAAAGCCUUCGGCUUAACCGGAGAAGUGCAUCGGAAACUGGAUAACUUGAGUGCAGAAGAGGGUAGUGGAACUCCAUGUGUAGCGGUGGAAUGCGUAGAUAUAUGGAAGAACACCAGUGGCGAAAGGCGGCUACCUGGUCUGCAACUGACGCUGAGACUCGAAAGCAUGGGUAGCGAACAGGAUUAGAUACCCUGGUAGUCCAUGCCGUAAACGAUGAGUGCUAGGUGUUGGAGGGUUUCCGCCCUUCAGUGCCGGAGCUAACGCAUUAAGCACUCCGCCUGGGGAGUACGACCGCAAGGUUGAAACUCAAAGGAAUUGACGGGGGCCCGCACAAGCGGUGGAGCAUGUGGUUUAAUUCGAAGCUACGCGAAGAACCUUACCAGGUCUUGACAUCUUGCGCCAACCCUAGAGAUAGGGCGUUUCCUUCGGGAACGCAAUGACAGGUGGUGCAUGGUCGUCGUCAGCUCGUGUCGUGAGAUGUUGGGUUAAGUCCCGCAACGAGCGCAACCCUUGUUACUAGUUGCCAGCAUUAAGUUGGGCACUCUAGUGAGACUGCCGGUGACAAACCGGAGGAAGGUGGGGACGACGUCAGAUCAUCAUGCCCCUUAUGACCUGGGCUACACACGUGCUACAAUGGACGGUACAACGAGUCGCGAACUCGCGAGGGCAAGCAAAUCUCUUAAAACCGUUCUCAGUUCGGACUGCAGGCUGCAACUCGCCUGCACGAAGUCGGAAUCGCUAGUAAUCGCGGAUCAGCAUGCCGCGGUGAAUACGUUCCCGGGCCUUGUACACACCGCCCGUCACACCAUGAGAGUUUGUAACACCCAAAGUCGGUGGGGUAACCUUUUAGGAGCCAGCCGCCUAA